UACGUAGGGUGCGAGCGUUAAUCGGAAUUACUGGGCGUAAAGAGUUGCGUAGGUGGUUUGUUAAGCGAAUAGUGAAAUCUUGUGGCUCAACCAUAAGGCUAUUAUUCGAACUGGCAAACUCGAGAAUGGAAGAGGUAUCUGGGAUUCCCAGUGUAGGAGUGAAAUCCGUAGAUAUUGGGAGGAACACCAAUGGCGUAGGCAGGAUACUGGUCCAUUUCUGACACUGAGGCACGAAAGCGUGGGGAGCGAACGGG
rnacentral:rRNA from 1 species